rnacentral:rRNA from 1 species
UACGUAGGGUGCGAGCGUUAAUCGGAAUUACUGGGCGUAAAGCGUGCGCAGGCGGUUUUGUAAGCCAGAUGUGAAAGCCCCGGGCUUAACCUGGGAAUGGCAUUUGAGACUGCAUAGCUAGGGUGCGGAAGAGGGAAGCGGAAUUUCCGGUGUAGCGGUGAAAUGCGUAGAUAUCGGAAGGAACAUCAGUGGCGAAAGCGGCUUCCUGGUCCAGCACCGACGUUCAGGCACGAAAGCGUGGGGAGCAAACAGG